rnacentral:rRNA from 1 species
CACCGCGGUUAUACGAGAGGCCCAAGUUGACAGAUCACGGCGUAAAGCGUGGUUAAGGUAAAUAAGAACUAAAGCUGAACGGCCUUAAGACUGUUAUACGUUUCCAAUGGCACGAAGCCCAAUUACGAAAGUGACUUUAUACAACACCUGACUCCACGAAAGCUGAGGAA